GUCGGAAACAUUGCACGCUUUUUUGUCAUGGUACCUCUACACAAGCGGUGAAAUGGAUACGCCCUGGAAGUACAAAAUAUAUCAUUGAUACUCACUGGCAGUCCACACCUUCGCUCCGAACUUGAAAGUAACAGAGUAUAAUAGCAAGAACAACUAUGCAUCGUUGGAUGAAUACUACAGCCUGCAAUCAAAAUUUCAAUAAUUGUAAUUUUUUUAUUACAACUUUUUCGUUACAACGAUUAACGUAU